rnacentral:rRNA from 1 species
CCUACGGGUGGCAGCAGUGAGGAAUAUUGCUCAAUGGACGCAACCCUGAUGCAGCGACGCCGCGUGCGUGAAGACGUCCUUCCUUAUGUAAAGCUCUUUUAGCCGGGGAGAAAAUGCCGGUACGUGAGUCCGAAGCCCCGGCUAACUACGUGCCAGCAGCCGCGGUAAUACGGAGGGGGCACGCGUUAUCCGGAUUUACUGGGUGUAAGGGGAGCGUAGUGGGCAUUGUAAGUCUGGAGUGAACGGCGUGGGCUCAACCGCCGGAUUGCACUUGAAACUUGACGGCUGGAGUGCAGGAGAGGUAGGUGGAAUGCCUGGUGUAGCGGUGAAAUGCGUAGAUAUUAUGAGGAACACCAGUGGCGAAGGCGGCUGACUGGACUGUAACUGACGUUGAGGCUCGAAAGCGUGGGUAGCAAACAGGAUUAGAUACCCUAGUAGUC